GCAGGCUUAACACAUGCAAGUCGAGCGGGCAUAGCAAUAUGUCAGCGGCAGACGGGUGAGUAACGCGUGGGAACGUACCUUUUGGUUCGGAACAACUGAGGGAAACUUCAGCUAAUACCGGAUAAGCCCUUACGGGGAAAGAUUUAUCGCCGAAAGAUCGGCCCGCGUCUGAUUAGCUAGUUGGUGAGGUAAUGGCUCACCAAGGCGACGAUCACUAGCUGGUCUGAGAGGAUGAUCAGCCACAUUGGGACUGAGACACGGCCCAAAC
rnacentral:rRNA from 1 species